rnacentral:rRNA from 1 species
CCUACGGGCGGCAGCAGUGGGGAAUAUUGGACAAUGGGCGAAAGCCUGAUCCAGCCAUGCCGCGUGUGUGAAGAAGGCCUUCGGGUUGUAAAGCACUUUCAGUGGGGAAGAAAGCCUUGGGGCUAAUACCCUCGAGGAAGGACAUCACCCACAGAAGAAGCACCGGCUAACUCCGUGCCAGCAGCCGCGGUAAUACGGAGGGUGCGAGCGUUAAUCGGAAUUACUGGGCGUAAAGCGCGCGUAGGCGGUCUGAUAAGCCGGUUGUGAAAGCCCCGGGCUCAACCUGGGAACGGCAUCCAGGACUGUCAGGCUAGAGUGCAGGAGAGGAAGGUAGAAUUCCCGGGGUAGCGGUGAAAUGCGUAGAGAUCGGGAGGAAUACCAGUGGCGAAGGCGGCCUUCUGGACUGACACUGACGCUGAGGUGCGAAAGCGUGGGUAGCAAACAGGAUUAGAUACCCUAGUAGUC